UACGUAGGGACCAAGCGUUGUCCGGAAUCAUUGGGCGUAAAGAGCGUGUAGGCGGCUUGUUAAGUCUUGCGUGAAAUCUCGGGGCUCAACCCCGAGCGGUCGUGAGAAACUGGCAGGCUAGAGUGCGGGAGAGGAGAGUGGAAUUCCUGGUGUAGCGGUGAAAUGCGCAGAUAUCAGGAAGAACACCCGUGGCUAAGGCGGCUCUCUAGUACGGUACUGACGCUGAGACGCGAAAGCGUGGGGAGCGAACAGG
rnacentral:rRNA from 1 species